rnacentral:rRNA from 1 species
AUUGAACGCUGGCGGCAGGCCUAACACAUGCAAGUCGAGCGGAUGAAGGGAGCUUGCUCCUGGAUUCAGCGGCGGACGGGUGAGUAAUGCCUAGGAAUCUGCCUGGCAGUGGGGGAUAACGUCUGGAAACGGGCGCUAAUACCGCAUACGUCCUGAGGGAGAAAGUGGGGGAUCUUCGGACCUCACGCUAUCAGAUGAGCCUAGCUCGGAGUAGCUAGUUGGUGGGGUAAAGGCCUACCAAGGCGACGAUCCGUAACUGGUCUGAGAGGAUGAUCAGUCACACUGGAACUGAGACACGGUCCAGACUCCUACGGGAGGCAGCAGUGGGGAAUAGUGGACAGUGGGCGAAAGCCUGAUCCAGCCAUGCCACGUGUGUGAAGAAGGGCUGCGGAUUGUAAAGCACUUUAAGUUGGGAGGAAGGGCAGUAAGUUAAUACCUUGCUGUUUUGACGUUACCAACAGAAUAAGCACCGGCUAACUUCGU